ACAUAACACCAUUUUAAUGAAAAUGCUGUUUUUCUAAAAUGAAUGUGACUGUUAGAGAGGAUCUGAAUGAUGCUUAUGUAACCUCAAACCCUGAGUCUGGGUAGAUUCUAAUUCAUUAAAGGAAAGGAAGCCGGGGGAGUUCUGACAUAUUUGCCUCCCACCUUUAAAACAAUGGGAUCUGUAAGGACUGUCUCAGCCGGUUGCUAAGGGACCUUGUUGGACUUUGACCCUGUGCUCCAGCUAGGCGGUUCCCUGCCAAGGCCUGCUCUCUUGUCCGUUGGAUGACACUUCUCUCCUGUUCAUUUCCUCUUCCAUAGAUAGUUUCUCCCCUGUAAUAUUUAUAAAGUACUUCCAUAUAUAUUAUUACCUGGCCUGUUUAAUUUUUCAUGUUAUGGUUAGCAGAAUAGAUAUGCUCAUCUUCGAGAGGAAGAAACAUGGUCUGGAAAGGGUUAAUCGAGAUUCAUCUGAGGUCCCAGCUGAUGAAGCAGCAGCAGCAGUGGGGAAACUGAGGCAGGCCUGUCAUGAUUUCGGGUCCUUCUACACACCUUCUCUAGGAACUCUCUGACGAUUUAAAAGGCCCCUGGAGGCUAGGAAUUGUGCUGUUCAUUAUUGGAUCUCGUGUCUCGUGUAUAACUAGACAGAAUGAGAGGACCUUGUCUGUUUGUCCAGCACAUGGUGACUCCGUGUCUCGGUGUCCUCUGUGCAGGGUACAGUGGCUCGUGCCCGAGACAACAGAGUUAAAUGCAUGUUGCAUCUCACCCUUGGGUGUGCACACAGUCAGAUACGUUCCCUUGCCUGUGCUCUCGUCUGCUUCUCUGGCUUUGGUGUCUUAAAGUCGGGCGUUGCCACACAGCUCAUGGUACCCUGAACUACAUCGAUCCUCCUGCCUCAGCCCCCUGAGUCCUGGGAUGACAGGUAUGUCUUCAUCAUGGCUUCUACUUCCUUUUUCUUUCUUUCUUUCUUUUUUCUUUUUCGGUUUUUCCGAGACAGGGUUUCUCUGUGUAGCCCUGGCUGUCCUGGAACUCACUUUGUAGACCAGGCUGGCCUCAAACUCAGAAAUCUGCCUGCCUCUGCCUCUGCUGGGAUUAAAGGCGCUUGCCACCACACCUAGCCUACUUCCUUUUUCAAGGCAUUCUCUAAAUGAUGUCAUCACCCAUCUCUCCUAUGUGCAGAGAGCUCUGGACAUCUCUGAACCACGCAGAGCAGGGGGUCCUCAGGCUUGAAGCCAAGGAAAGUUUGUGUGCACACACUCAGAGGAACCCAAAGGGGGAAAAAGACAGGGUGUGAACAAACAAGAAUGAGAUGGAGUGCGGAGAGAGGAGGAGGGAAGGCCUCUGUGAGGCCAGUCAGGACUCUUCUUCCUGUGGAGUUUAGGCAGCCUCACUCGAUCCCCAAGCCCAGACAGAGAAAGUUUGGGAAUCCUUCUUCUAUAUAUCUCCACUCUAGAAAGCUCUGUAAGGUUUCAGUAAUGGGGCUCUUUUCUAAGGUAGGGUGGUAAAAGAGAGGUGGGAGGCAAGGCCAUUCUGACUUUUAUUUAACAGACUUAUAAAUAAUCUCCUGCCUGCAAAUUCUGGGCCAGAUGCCCAGGGUAUAGCUUUAACUUGGCCCAAGAAUGACAAGUCGGGGCUGGAGAGAUGGCUCGGCAGUUAGGAGCACUUGCUCUUGUAGAAGCCCGGGAUUUGAUUCCCAGCACACAUGCAUGGAUGGUUGGUUCAUAACCACCCCUAACUCCAGCUCCAGGGAUUUAGGCUAAGCGUGCACGCACGCACACACACACACACACACACACACACACACACACACACGUGUAGUUUUUUUAAGUGACGAGUAGAGCCCAUCCCUUUAGCCUGUUGACUCUCCCCAGGUUACUCGCCUGCUCCAUUCUCUGUCCCUGACUCUCUAACUGGCAGGUUGAGAGGCAUCUUGGAAACAGCAGCACUUCCCCCAAUACUGGAGCAAAGGGAUGGGGGCACUCACCCAGAGUGGCUGCCUUGUCUUCUGUGGAAAUUGAGGUCAUAUGGAGGUCCCUGGGCCAACCCUGAGCCAAGGGAAACAGAAAUGGGCAGAGUUGGAAGAGCUUCCCCUGGACCAAUGUGCUUACCAUGUCCCAUAUAGAGCAAGCACAAGGCAGACCAACAGAUACCUGUCAUGGUCCUCUCUGAAGUCAUGGAAAUGUUUGUUUGUAUACAAGUGCUUUGUCUGCAUGUAUGCCUGAACACCAUAAGAGAGUAUUGGAUCGUGAGCUGCCGUGUAGUUGCUGGGAAUUGAAUUCAGGACCUCUGGAAGCCAUCUUUGCAGCCCAGAAAUGUUAUAUUU
rnacentral:lncRNA from 1 species